UAGUGAUAGCUGGUUGUUCAGGAAAAGAGUCUUAGCUCUGCCUUAAGUUUUUUUAUUCUACCAAACAGGCCCAAAAACUUAAGAGUUAUUCAAAUUAGGCACAGCUUAUUUGAAAUAGGACACAACCUCCACCAUUGGGUAAGCAUGGGCAGCAAAACCAAAGUGGGCCUAAAAGCAGCCACCUUCCAAAAAGCGUCAAAGCUUAAUUAUGCUAGCCUACAAUCUCUAAAACACUCCCCAACCCCUCAUCCCUACUGAACUAUUUUAUAUAACUAUAAAAAUAAUCAUGCUAGAACUAGUAACAAGAAGUCGCCCUUCUCCAUAAUGUAAGCAUAGACCAAAACGGACAAUCCGCUGGUAAUUAACGUAAAUGCAAAACCAUAACAACAUAAAACUAGAAAACCUUAUGGCCCUACACGUUACCCUGACACCAGAACAUUACAGGAAAGAUUAAAAGAGAAAGAAGGAACUCGGCAAAUUUUAACCCCGCCUGUUUACCAAAAACAUCGCCUCCUGAUUAAACAUGAGAGGUCCAGCCUGCCCAGUGAUAAUAUUUAACGGCCGCGGUAUACUAACCGUGCGAAGGUAGCAUAAUCACUUGUUCUUUAAAUGGGGACUCGUAUCAACGGCAUCACGAGGGUUAUACUGUCUCCUCUCUCCAAUCAGUGAAACUGAUCUCCCCGUGAAGAAGCGGGGAUUUAAUUAUAAGACGAGAAGACCCCAUGGAGCUUUAAACCCAACACACACCUCUGCACUCAAACCAACACAACCAAAGGGGCCUGUGCGUCGGUUUUAGGCUGGGGGGGCCACGGAGUAAAACUAAACCUCCACAACAAAUGGGCUAACACCCUAAUCUACGAUUUAUAAAUCUAAGAAUCACCAAAAUGAUGUUUAAUGACCCGAUAAUUCGAUCAAUGAACCAAGUUACCCUGGGGAUAACAGCGCAAUCCACUUCAAGAGCCCUUAUCGACAAGUGGGUUUACGACCUCGAUGUUGGAUCAGGGUAUCCUAGUGGUGCAACCGCUACUAAUGGUUCGCUUGUUCAGCGAUUAAAACCCU
rnacentral:rRNA from 1 species